UUCACCUAUUGAAGCCUUCAGCAGCGACUGUAAAGAAAUGCGUAGUUUGCUUGCAAGCAAUGCCACUUAAAUGCUGAGACAUAUGAAUCAGCAGCCUUCUAGGCUCACAGAUCAAAUUGUGGUAACCAUUCUUAUGGGCAAGAUAUGACCGGUCUUAACUAGAGUUAGUUAAGAAUCUACGUUCCGUAGGUGAACCUGCGGAAGGAUCAUUAAAAGGUUUCGGGUACCUAGUGCCCAAACUUCAACCCUA
rnacentral:misc_RNA from 1 species